GACGAACGCUGGCGGCGUGCUUAACACAUGCAAGUCGAACGGAAAGGCCCUGCUUGCAGGGUACUCGAGUGGCGAACGGGUGAGUAACACGUGGGUGAUCUGCCCUGCACUUCGGGAUAAGCCUGGGAAACUGGGUCUAAUACCGGAUAGUAGCCAUGUUUAGUGUGAUGGUUGGAAAGUUUUUUCGGUGUAGGAUGAGCUCGCGGCCUAUCAGCUUGUUGGUGGGGUAAUGGCCUACCAAGGCGGCGACGGGUAGCCGGACUGAGAGGGUGGACGGCCACACUGAGACUGAGAGACGGCCCAGAUUCCGACGGGAGGCAGCAGGGGGGAAUACUGAACAAGGGGCGCCAGCCUGAUGAAGCGACGCCGCGGGGGGGAUGACGGCCUUAGGGUUGUAAACUCGUUUCGCUAGGGACGAAGCUUUUUGUGACGGUACCUAGAGAAGAAGCACCGGCUAACUACGUG
rnacentral:rRNA from 1 species